CUUGGUGACUCGAAGGCUAACCGAGACGCUGGACCGAUUCUUCCUCAAAGCCGGUUUAUCCUUCAGACCCGAGCCGCUGCAAGAUUCAUCCUGAAAGAUCAACUAUGGCAUCGAGUCAAUCAUCAUCGUGUGUACUGAAUGAUCUUGAACUUGACUCGCCAAGUUGUUGGUGUGGUUUGAAAGCGCAAUUAAAGAUCUCCCGCACCCACAAAAAUCCAAAUAGGAAAUUCUAUGCUUGUCCAAAGUACCAGACGAUAAUUACUCUCCAACUUGUCCAAUAAUUUUUUUAUUGCAUGUACAAUAAGUUAUAGUAAUUUUACAUCUUGGAUUUCUUGAAUUGUACACAGGGACAAACAGGAUGUUAAUUCUUCGUUUGGGAAGAUAUACUUCAAUCAGUACUACGUGAGACUGCCAACAAGACAAGAGAGAAUGAACUUCGGAUGAGAGAGGAUGCUGUUUUGUUUCGUGAAUUUGAAGC